rnacentral:rRNA from 1 species
GGGCCCGCACAAGCGGUGGAGCAUGUGGUUUAAUUCGAUGAUACGCGAGGAACCUUACCAGGACUUAAAUGUAAGUUGCAUGAUUCAGAAAUGAAUCUUUCUUCGGACUACUUACAAGGUGCUGCAUGGUUGUCGUCAGCUCGUGCCGUGAGGUGUCAGGUUAAGUCCUAUAACGAGCGAACCCCCUAUCGUUAGUUGCCAUCAAGUAAAGUUGGGAACUCUAGCGAAACUGCCGGUGCAAACCGAGAGGAAGGUGGGGAUGACGUCAAAUCAUCACGGCCCUUACGUUCUGGGCUGCAAAACAUGCUACAAUGGCCGGUACAAAGGGCUGCGAGACCGCGAGGUUAAGCG